CUGAGUGUUACAACUCCCAAACCCUUUGUGAACCAUACCUACCGUUGCUUCGGCGGGAACACCCCAGCGCCCCCGGGCGCCGGGCGACCCCCGCCGAGGGCACGAAACUCUUGCUUGCUCCAGUGGUAUUCUCUCUGAGUGGCAUAAGCAAAAUAAAAUCA
rnacentral:misc_RNA from 1 species